GGCCGCGGGAAUUCGAUUACUGCUCAGUAACACGUGGAUAACCUGCCCUUGGGUCUGGGAUAACCCCGGGAAACUGGGGAUAAUACCGGAUAACGCAUAUAUGCUGGAAUGCUUUAUGCGUAAAAUGGAUUCGUCUGCCCAAGGAUGGGUCUGCGGCCUAUCAGGUAGUAGUGGGUGUAAUGUACCUACUAGCCUACAACGGGUACGGGUUGUGAGAGCAAGAGCCCGGAGAUGGAUUCUGAGACAUGAAUCCAGGCCCUACGGGGCGCAGCAGGCGCGAAAACUUUACAAUGCGGGAAACCGUGAUAAGGGGACACCGAGUGCCAGCAUCAUAUGCUGGCUGUCCAGAUGUGUAAAAUACAUCUGUUAGCAAGGGCCGGGCAAGACCGGUGCCAGCCGCCGCGGUAACACCGGCGGCCCGAGUGGUGAUCGUGAUUAUUGGGUCUAAAGGGUCCGUAGCCGGUUUGGUCAGUCCUCCGGGAAAUCUGAUGGCUCAACCAUUAGGCUUUCGGGGGAUACUGCCAGGCUUGGAACCGGGAGAGGUAAGAGGUACUACAGGGGUAGGAGUGAAAUCCUGUAAUCCUCGAGGGACCACCUGUGGCGAAGGCGCCUCACCAGAACGGCUUUACAGUUGAGGGACGAAAGCUGGGGGGGCAA
rnacentral:rRNA from 1 species